AGUGCUGUGGUGUAGUGGUUAACACCCUGGUCUGAAACACCGGCAUCCCAUAUGGGCACCGGUUCUAGUCCCGGCAGCUCCA
rnacentral:tRNA from 1 species